UACGAAGGGGGCUAGCGUUGUUCGGAAUUACUGGGCGUAAAGCGCACGUAGGCGGACAUUUAAGUCAGGGGUGAAAUCCCAGAGCUCAACUCUGGAACUGCCUUUGAUACUGGGUGUCUUGAGUAUGGAAGAGGUGAGUGGAAUUCCGAGUGUAGAGGUGAAAUUCGUAGAUAUUCGGAGGAACACCAGUGGCGAAGGCGGCUCACUGGUCCAUUACUGACGCUGAGGUGCGAAAGCGUGGGGGGCAAACAGG
rnacentral:rRNA from 1 species